GAUUUGAAUUUCCAAGUAGGAGCUUGGGAAGGGAAUGUAGGUGCAAGGUUAGAACCGAACCACUAUAAAUCUUGUUUGUUUGUGUUGUGCUUACUUGCUCUCUUUCUAAAUUUUCUUAUCUAUUUGCAUUCUUGCAUCUAAUUUCUACAUCUUGCUUAAAUUACUCUCUACAUAUAUCCUGCUCAUUGUUAUUUAAUCCUCAUAGUUUUAAAUUAACAUUAAAUUUUUUAAAAACCCAAUUCACCUCUUCC
rnacentral:lncRNA from 1 species